rnacentral:rRNA from 1 species
GACGUAGGGUGCGAGCGUUGUCCGGAUUUAUUGGGCGUAAAGAGCUCGUAGGCGGCUCGUCGCGUCGACCGUGAAAACCCGCGGCUUAACUGCGGGCUUGCGGUUGAUACGGGCGGGCUAGAGUUCGGGAGAGGAGAGUGGAAUUCCCAGUGUAGAGGUGAAAUUCGUAGAUAUUGGGAAGAACACCGGUGGCGAAGGCGGCUCUCUGGACCGAUACUGACGCUGAGGCGCGAAAGCGUGGGGAGCAAACAGG